rnacentral:rRNA from 1 species
GCGCGAAAACUUUACAAUGCUGGCAACAGCGAUAAGGGGACCUCGAGUGCCAGGAUACAAUCUUGGCUGUCGCGAUGCCUAAAAAGCAUUGCAUAGCAAGGGCCGGGCAAGACCGGUGCCAGCCGCCGCGGUAACACCGGCGGCUCGAGUGGUAACCGUUAUUAUUGGGUCUAAAGGGUCUGUAGCCGGCCGGAUAAGUCUCUUGGGAAAUCCAGCAGCUCAACUGUUGGGCUUUCAGGAGAUACUGUCUGGCUCGAGGCCGGGAGAGGUGAGAGGUACUUCAGGGGUAGGG